GAUGAACGCUGGCGGCGUGCUUAACACAUGCAAGUCGAACGGAAAGGCCUCUGCUUGCAGGGGUACUCGAGUGGCGAACGGGUGAGUAACACGUGGGUGAUCUGCCCUGCACUUCGGGAUAAGCCUGGGAAACUGGGUCUAAUACCGGAUAGGACAAUGGUUUGGAUGCUGUUGUGGAAAGUUUUUCGGUGUGGGAUGAGCUCGCGGCCUAUCAGCUUGUUGGUGGGGUAAUGGCCUACCAAGGCGUCGACGGGUAGCCGGCCUGAGAGGGUGUACGGCCACAUUGGGACUGAGAUACGGCCCAGACUCCUACGGGAGGCAGCAGUGGGGAAUAUUGCACAAUGGGCGCAAGCCUGAUGCAGCGACGCCGCGUGGGGGAUGACGGCCUUCGGGUUGUAAACUCCUUUCGCUAGGGACGAAGCGUUUUUGUGACGGUACCUGGAGAAGAAGCACCGGCUAACUACG
rnacentral:rRNA from 1 species